rnacentral:rRNA from 2 species
CGGGAAGGGAUAAACGCUGAAGGCAUCUAAGCGUGAAGCCCCCCUCAAGAUGAGAUAUCCCAUUCGAAAGAAGUAAGACCCCUUGAAGACGACGAGGUAGAUAGGGCAGGGGUGGAAGUGCCGUAAGGCAUGGAGCUGACUGUUACUAAUCGGUCGAGGGCUUGACCUG